rnacentral:piRNA from 2 species
UCGGUGUCUAGAUCCAGGAAAUGGAGAAUGU